rnacentral:rRNA from 1 species
AACGAACGCUGGCGGCUUGCCUAACACAUGCAAGUCGAACGAGACCUUCGGGUCUAGUGGCGCACGGGUGCGUAACGCGUGGGAACCUGCCCUUAGGUUCGGAAUAACUCCCCGAAAGGGGUGCUAAUACCGGAUAAUGUCUUCGGACCAAAGAUUUAUCGCCUUUGGAUGGGCCCGCGUUGGAUUAGCUAGUUGGUAGGGUAAAAGCCUACCAAGGCGACGAUCCAUAGCUGGUCUGAGAGGAUGAUCAGCCACACUGGGACUGAGACACGGCCCAGACUCCUACGGGAGGCAGCAGUGGGGAAUAUUGGACAAUGGGCGAAAGCCUGUUCCAGCAAUGCCGCGUGAGUGAUGAAGGCCUUAGGGUUGUAAAGCUCUUUUACCCGGGAUGAUAAUGACAGUACCGGGAGAAUAAGCUCCGGCUAACUCCGUG